rnacentral:rRNA from 1 species
GACGAACGCUGGCGGCGUGCUUAACACAUGCAAGUCGUACGGUAAGGCCCUUUCGGGGGUACACGAGUGGCGGACGGGUGAGUAACACGUGAGUAACCUGCCCACAACUUUGGGAUAACGCUAGGAAACUGGUGCUAAUACUGGAUAUGUGCUACUGCUCCUUGGUGGGGGUUGGAAAGCUCCGGGGGUUUUGGAUGGACUGGCGGGCUAUCGGCUUGUUGGUGGGGUAGUGGCGUACCAAGGCGGCAACGGGUAGCCGGCCAGAGGGGGUGACCGGCCACAUUGGGACUGAGAUACGGCCCAGACGCCUACGGGAGGAAGCAGGGGGGAAGAUUGCACAAUGGGCGCAAGCCGGAUGCAGCAACGCCGCGGGCGGGAUGACGGCCUUGGGGUUGUAAACCGCUUUCAGCAGGGACGAAGCUUUUUGUGACGGUACCUGCAGAAGAAGCACCGGCUAACUACGUG